GACGGAGGGUGCAAGCGUUGUUCGGAAUUACUGGGCGUAAAGCGCGGGCAGGUGGCCCUUUAAGUCCUUUUGUGAAAUUCCGGAGCUCAACUCCGGAUGUGCAUAGGAUACUGGAAGGCUAGAGACUGGUAGAGGCGAGCGGAAUUCCUGGUGUAGCGGUGGAAUGCGUAGAUAUCAGGAGGAACACCAAUUGCGAAGGCAGCUCGCUGGAACGUAACUGACGCUGAGACGCGAAAGCGUGGGGAGCGAACAGG
rnacentral:rRNA from 1 species